UGUUUAAUAGUGCAAUUAAUCACAAUUAAUUUUUUUAAUCGCAGUUAAUUUUUUUGAGUUAAUCACAUGAGUUAACUGUGAUUACUUGACAGCCCUAUUUGUAAUAUAUUAAUUUACCAGUUGAUCACUUGCUGGAUAAAUUUAAGAUCUAAAAUGAUUCAAGUCCUUGAGAUGCUGCAGGUCCCUUAGAUUCCUGAAUUAAUCUCACUGCAAAAAAAGGGCAAGGGCUCUGCCAGUGAUGAGUCCUAAUGUUCAGCUUGUCAUAUAGGGAUUGCUGAAUCCCAGUGAAAAAGGAUUGCUCUGGAAAUAUUAGCAAACAGUGUAUGGACAAGGUUUAGGAAGGUAUGAGAUGUUCUGUUUGUUACGAGUGAAACUAGUUUUUGGAUGUGUUCUGGGGGACGUUUUUUAGACCCUUGUCUACUUAUUGUAAAUUUAUUCUGUGAAUUUACUCAAUUGCAAGUUCAGGCAGGUAAUCCUGGAGCAAGGCCAUACAUGCAUUAAAUAGGUAAUAAUAAAACUCUUAAACCUGUCUCUGUGAGCUACUGGGAGCCAAUUCAGUAUCAAGUUGAAUACAACCUGCACUAAUAAAAGAGAGAUUUCUUUAAGGUAUUUCUUCAGAUUCUUUUGUGUAUUUUAAUGACUAAAUCUGAACAUUUUAAUCUUUUACAUGAAAUGAGAACAAGCUUAAGGAGAAUGAAGACCGAAAUUACUAGUACUGUAAUAAAGUAUGGAGAGAUGUCAAGCAGUACUCCACAAAGAUCCUCCAGUUCAGCCACUCUGGUCUCCAAAGCCCGUAUGCAGUCUGAGGGCCAGGAGCUCCUUGCAAUGAAUGCACACACAUGCCACCCACCCAUAAGGUUUUCCCAGAAUGAGCCAGAAAGAAGAUAAACUGAGGUCAAAACAUACAGAGGAGAACUUCAGCCUACUCUGUGGAGCCUCUGCCUACAUUGUCCCCAGGAUUCCAUACCAUUAAGUGAAGCAUUCUUGGAGCACAGCUGGUUUAUGUCUGUCACAAGCAAUGGAAGGACAUUUCCGAGCUGGAAAUUACUGAAAGGAUCCAGUGCUGAUGGCUUUUGGAGCUGCCAAUCCAGAGAGCAGCUUUUGGCUCCUGCUGAGUACAGUAUGUCUGCAGUUUGACUAUUUAUCUCACUUUUUACAUACUUGAGCUGAAAAAAAAAAAAAGGAUUGUGCAAACACUCACAGCUCAUUCCCUCACACCUCUUCCUCCCCACCCUCUCCUUAUCAAGUAUUGCAGCAGCACUAAAAUGUGUCAAAUAAGCUGAAUGAAGCUGUCUAGUUUUGAGAUAUUAACAGGGAAUUACAUCAUGGUUAAAAUGUAUGACUUUGAAAUUAUCAUUAGCUAAUGAUUAUGUGAAAAAACAAUAAAACUCUCCCAACCACAAUGGGCAAUGCCAGACUAAAUUACAGUUAAAUGCUUUAGGCCCAAAUUUUCAAACUUAGGUGCCUAAAGAUGGGCAUCUAAAGCCAGUUAGGCAUUUGAGUACGUGAACUGAUGUUCAGAGGUGCUGAGCUUAAGGUGCUUAAAAGCAGCUGGUGAUCAGCUCAUCUGUGGGGGAAGGGGGGAAAUAUCAGACCAUGUAUUUAGAUGCCUAAAUAUGGAUUUAGGUGCCUAACUUCAGGCAUCCAGUUUAGAAAAUGUUGGCCUUCAGACUAUCUGGGGCUAAAGGAGAGUACCUCCAGCUUCUAAGCGGCAAGGAAAAAGUGAAAUAUAUAUUCCAGGAUUUUGCUGCUGGGUGUAGAAGAAGAAGAGAUCAGAAUUAACAACAGGGAGGCAACGUCUCCACACCAAGUACAUUCUGUUUAUCUUGGCCUAUCGCAGAUAGUUCUACAGAGGCAGCACACCCUGCUUCCAUUGGUUCAGUAGAAGGUCAGGAAUUUUUGAACCAGAUUGUAGUGAGAUUGAAGGAGAUCUGCUAAAAUAAAUGCUGUUACUGUUUGUUCUACCUUUUUUAUUAAAUUUUAAAUUGCUUCUUAACGUUCCUUCGGCUUAAAGAGCCCUUGUUUGUCUGCCCAGUCAUAUAAAACAAGAGUAAUCUUGGCUGUUUAAUCUCUAUGAUAUAGUUCUUUAUGCAUUCUUCUCAUUCUCAGUCUCUCCCAUGCCCUUUGUUAAAGCCACUUCAGCUUCAACCAGUUGUUCCUCUCCAUCACAGUCUUCGUUUCUUCUCUCUCUGCCACUACGGUUAUUCAGUAAAAGUAUGUUUAUACAAGGAGGAAUGCUAUCUUCCUGCCCUGGUCAUUUUAGCUCACCUGUUGGUCAAAACCAUUCACAUCCGCCUGCUUCUCAGACUCCAUGGAGACUGCAUGUAAAGCUGAAAUGAGGUGACAAAAACAUCAUAAAAAGGUCUGUUUGCUUCAGGUCAGAUAUUGAGGAACUCCUGAUAUGUAGCCACCAGGUAAGUGGAAGUAAACAUCCUUCUGACUAUACAGGAUAAAGAAAGCUCACAAUAAUGUCUCUUGUUUCUUAUCUUUAGUCUUCAAUGAGGUGUCACCAGAUGUCAGGAACUGGAAUGAGCUUCACCCUCCUCCACCUCCCGCCCCUUUUCACUGGCAUAUUAUACCAGCUCAACUGAUAUAUCAACUGAGUAAAGGUGUAGCAUAUGUCAUGUUUGACAGAGAUGAAAUACCCAUUUAUAAUUUCUUUAAUCAAUGCUUUCUUUCUCUUCUACUGAUAGGCCGUGGAGAUAGUCAAAACAACUGCUAUGUUUUGCAGAAGCAGGGGGAACUAAACCAGCCUACUUACACCACCACACACCUCUUCGAGUUGCUGUUCAGAUACACAUGUAAAUAGUGUGACAUAAUAUUUGUAAAUACAGAGAAAGAAUGAUGAAAGUUCUAGUCCACCCAUGUCUACUAUACCCUGGACUAGUGCAUAGAUUUCAGGUAGGACUGUACUGAAGAUCCCGCUAAGGAAGGAAUAGUUUAGCUCACGUUAAGUACUAAAAUAAUGGAAAGACUCAUUCACGAAUUAACUAUUUGCAGAUGUACAGAGAAACAUUUGGGAAUAAUCUGAUUAAUAUUGUUUGCUCAGUGCUGCUGCAGGAAAACAAUGGGAGAGAAAUUAUUUGAAUAAUUUGACAAUUGAUGGAAACAACCAGUCUAUUUACUAUUUAUCCUAAAGCAUGUUUUUACUGAAUAGAAAAGCUCUCUAAAGCCUGGAUCUUAUAACUGGAUAUUUGUGGGUGUGUCCCUCAGCCCAUGCAGAGCCAACUGGGCUUCAUGCAAGUGCAAGGGUCUGUCCAUGUGGAUUCAAUUGCAGGGUCAGGCCUUGGCCUCCCUCAGUGUCUGAGCAAGUGGGAUUGCUUGCUUCAUGAUAUACGUGUGGGACUUUUGCAGAGAAGACUGAGGUUCAGUUAAUGCAGUGUUGAGGGCAAUAUAGAUAAAAAGUUGGUAUUUUUAUCUUAUAUCUACCCCAGCUGCAUACAGGUUGUAAGUAAAAUUGUCAAUAAUCAAAAAAUGUUCUGUGCCAUAGAGCCCACACAAACCUGGUAGAAUAUCAACCAUCCUUUGAAAUGAUCAACCAGGGAGAAUUCCACUGACAUGCAGAUAUUUACUUCCAACUGCCACUGAGACCUUAGCUAUAGCAUAUAGCCAGCAGCAAGGCAGCAGCAUCCGACCCCUCCCCAGGCUCUCCCUCAAUUAAACUGGAGACUCCGCCUCUUAUAUUUCCUGUUCUCCCCUCUGCUUCCAGUGCAAGGGGCAGGCCCGGCCUGGCUCUACCCACCAGGGGCAUGAUUCCUCCUUGUUUGUGUGAGAGAGAAGCCAUUCAGCCUCACUACAAACUCCUUUCUCUUAUCAACUCAGCUAAUUAUUAUUGCAAUCUCCUUAGCAGGGAAAGAGGCGUGCAGUGGUUGAAGACUUUAUUCCUUUAAUAUGUAAGGGGACUGUUCCCCCUUACUAACAUUCAGUGGGGGUGUUUUGGUUGGCUAGCUCCCAGUACUAAAAGGGGGAAGGGUCAAUGGGGAAUCAGGACCCUGAGACUGACAGCCCCCAGGA